rnacentral:rRNA from 1 species
ACCGCAUGAGCAUUGGCCAGUUAGAGAAAACUAUAGGGAUCAACGUCAAUAUGCAGCCGCACCUGCGCUGGCAGUUUCACCGCACCAAUCCAGCCACGUAAAAUGCGCUGUAAAUCAAUGGUUUUGUCGGCGCGAAGUAAAAAUCUGGCACGAUGCCGCCCCUUCAGAUAAGCCAGUGGCGCCAGCGCCGGGCCAAAACAGUCGACAUUGGCAAAUUCUGGCCGGCAGGCCGCCAGCAACCGCAUCGCCUCAUGCAGCUUGUCUUCGCGUGGCGCGGAUAAAAUCACCGCUGCCAGCUGGGCAAAGGGUGGCAUGCCAGCUCGGUAAAGCGUCCGCAGGCGGCCCUUCAAGUCUGCUGUUAAAAAGUGGAGCUUAACUCCAUCAUGGCAGUGGAAACUGUUGGGCUUGAGUGUGGUAGGGGCAGAGGGAAUUCCCGGUGUAGCGGUGAAAUGCGUAGAUAUCGGGAAGAACACCAGUGGCGAAGGCGCUCUGCUGGGCCAUCACUGACGCUCAUGGACGAAAGCCAGGGGAGCGAAAGGGAUUAGAUACCCCUGUAGUCCUGGCCGUAAACGAUGAACACUAGGUGUCGGGGGAAUCGACCCCCUCGGUGUCGUAGCCAACGCGUUAAGUGUUCCGCCUGGGGAGUACGCACGCAAGUGUGAAACUCAAAGGAAUUGACGGGGGCCCGCACAAGCGGUGGAGUAUGUGGUUUAAUUCGAUGCAACGCGAAGAACCUUACCAGGGUUUGACAUCCUGCGAAUCUCUUGGAAACGAGAGAGUGCCUUCGGGAGCGCAGUGACAGGUGGUGCAUGGCUGUCGUCAGCUCGUGUCGUGAGAUGUUGGGUUAAGUCCCGCAACGAGCGCAACCCACGUCUUUAGUUGCCAGCAUUUAGUUGGGCACUCUAGAGAGACCGCCGGUGAUAAACCGGAGGAAGGUGUGGAUGACGUCAAGUCAUCAUGCCCCUUACAUCCUGGGCUACACACGUACUACAAUGCUACGGACAAAGGGCAGCAAGUUCGCGAGGACAAGCAAAUCCCAUAAACCGUGGCUCAGUUCAGAUCGUAGGCUGCAACUCGCCUACGUGAAGGAGGAAUCGCUAGUAAUCGCAGGUCAGCAUACUGCGGUGAAUACGUUCCCGGGCCUUGUACACACCGCCCGUCACACCAUGGAAGUUGGCCACGCCCGAAGCCGUUACUCCAACCCUCGGGAGGAGGACGUCGAAGGUGGGGCUGAUGACUGGGGUGAAGUCGUAACAAGGUAUCCGUACCGGAAAGUGCGGAUG